rnacentral:rRNA from 1 species
UACAGAGGUCCCAAGCGUUGUUCGGAUUCACUGGGCGUAAAGGGUGCGUAGGCGGUCGGGUAAGUCUGAUGUGAAAUCUCACAGCUUAACUGUGAAACUGCAUUGGAUACUAUCCGGCUCGAGGAAUGGAGGGGAGACUGGAAUACUUGGUGUAGCAGUGAAAUGCGUAGAUAUCAAGUGGAACACCAGUGGCGAAGGCGAGUCUCUGGACAUUUCCUGACGCUGAGGCACGAAAGUCAGGGGAGCAAACGGG